UUUCUAAAUUGUAACUAUUAAAACAUUUUUAAAUUGUGGAAUUAAUAAAACUCUAUUACUAAUGUUCCAAAGAGAGCACAAGCCAGAUAUUUCAAUUGAAGGAAUUUAAUAAAAGUAAUUCACUAUAGAGUUGCUGGAGGGGCUGAAAAUAGGUGAGGUGCUGCUACUCUUAGGGUCAUAAAGGGAAAAGAUGGGAGUCCAGAUUGACUAACAGGUGGGAGCUAGAACUACGAAGAAAGUCUGGUGGGAGCUGGGACCACGACAUGGGCUGCAACUACGAUGGAGCUGUUGGAGGUACUACGUGAGGGAUGAGGAGGUGGGCCGCUCUCCCCUCCCACCCUCCAGUUUCCACCAGUGCUGCCCAUUGAUUUAACCUUAAUGGAAGCCAGUGAGCAAGAGCAUCUGGGAAUUAUAACUUGUAGAGAUUAGCUCUCUACAGAGCAGAACGAGGGAAGGAAGUGUGAAUGGAUCUGACAGCCAACAGGCAAAUGACCAGUACAAACAGCAAACUUCAAAACCAUAUAUUUAUUUAUCAGGAUUACAAUUAGGUAUGCCACCUCCCCUAUAGAUAAGUAACUACCUGGGACCAGGGAUAGAGAUAAUUUGAAAGAGUCUUUGGCAAAUAAUUAAUCUGAGUGUACUUAGACCCGCACUUCUUCACACAAGCAGAUUAAUUGUUUUUUAGUGAAGUAUUCAAAUGCAGAAACACUAAGGACUUAGAAACCAAAAAUUAAUUAGCGUGGGAGGAAGAGACAGUGAAGCAGCCCCUUAAAAAUGGUCUUUCGGGUGGAAACACUUUAUUUGGGAAGCAAAGUGCAAGAUUCAGCAAUAGAAACCACUCAGUGUCCUUGGUGAAUGAUUUGAUCCUGGCCAUCAGAACCUUUACUUCAGCCAGCAAUAAACUCUUAGAAACAGAAGCUUCGAGGUAUGUACUCCUGUUCUGCACGAACAAGUUUUCUGGUUGAACAUGCUGAACCUCUUAAAAAAUUCAGAACAAGUUUUCUCAGAGUUUACAAAGGGAUUUCAAUCACAUGAAGAGAGGAAAACACACUGAGUCGUAACAGUGACAUCAAAAUACUUUUGAAGUUGACUGAAAAUGUGGUUGCUUUUGUUUGAGAAUGGCAAAUUAAAGAAUUGGAUAUUGGGUUCUUAUCUCAGAAGAAACAAAGGAGGAGACCCUGAAAAACUGAACAUGAAGAGGAAGAAGUGGAGUUAUGCAACUCUUCAUAAGAAAAUCUCCAUCUGUUUGGAGAAGUACUGCGUCCUUCCGGAUUAUCUUCUACACUAUGCCUUAUUGUUAUCUGGCUGGUUCCACCACCGGUCAGAAGAAUGAAAAUUGCAGAUACCUAUUCUGUGUGUUUCUCUCCAGAAUGGUGGAUGUUAGAGACCCUACUAAGGAUUUGUGGACUCACUAACGUAGUCUCUAAAAGGAAUGCACUUGGUAAAUAGGAGUUCAAUAACUGUUUGUUGAAGAAAGAAAAGAACUAUGGUGGGUCAGAUGAGAGACAAAAAUCACUCUGCAGAGAUACAGCAUGCAGGAGACCACCUCUGAGACUGAGGCAAGAGUGUGCCUGAAAUGCCAGGGGUUCGAUCUAGGUCCUGCUGUUCCCUGACACAGAAAGCCAAUGACUGACACAAUGAGUAUUGCCAAAGAAGAAGGCUUUCAUCGAGUGCUGCAGCCAAGGAAAUGGAAGAUCAGUUUCAAAUCCAUCUCCCUGAACAACUAAAAAUAGAGGUUUCUACAGCAGGGAAGAAAUGUGACUAUGCAUGGGAAAACAGGAAUUAGGGAGGGGUCAUGAGGCAAUCAUGAUGAAUGAGGGGUCUGACAUCCCAUUGGCUGGAUGUGGUUACAUGAUGAGUUUCUGUUCUUUGACACUUUUUGAAAGGCCUGAGGGCCCUUUCCUUACAAAGAAACUCAGAUAAAACCAAUGUGAGUUUCAAGCUUUAAGACCAGAAGAGUCCAUUUCUAUGUUACUAUAGGAAAAGAAAAAAACUGCCUAUGGGACUAUUGGGUUGGUUUCAAGAGGUUAUCUGAAAGGCAAGGCGGCCUCCAUAACUGCUUAUUUUCUUUUCUUUUGAAACUGUCAUUGUCUUCCCAACAUCUAGGCUUAUGAUCAUAUGGGUAAGCUUAGAUCAUACAUUCUGUCUACUCUACCCAGACCAGAAUCAUACAAUCAAAGACAUACAGAGUCAACUAGGUAAUAUAAGUGAGCAGAGUUGGACUGGAGUAAGGUCCAUGGAGGACUGCAACUAAACGGGUACAUCUUGUCUGGAGUUGGACUAAAUCAUUGUGAAGCUUUAAGUCAGAUUUUCUUAGUGUGUUAUUUAUACACCCUCCUGGCAUAUGAGUGACAGGAAAGUCAAAGUCAUUGACUCUCUAAUAUUUAUUGAGCACCUUCAAAUACUUUUUGAGUAUCUACUAUUAUUGGGCACCUACAAACACUUAUUGACCAUGUGCCAAGCACAGUGCCUAGCAAGUUCUUCUUUUCUAAUCAAAUCAACAGGUUGGACAUCCCUACCCAAGGCUCAAAUGGUAACAGGUCCAUGCCUUACUUGUGUCAGUUCUCUUAUUGAAAGAGCAUCUCCUAACCAUCCUACCAAUAAGCAAGACCAAUUCCUCCUCUCCCCUGUCCUCCUCCUCGCCUACUCCACAUGAAGACAACGAGGAUGAAGACCUUCAUGAUGAUCCAUUUCCACUUAAUGAACAAACUUCAGGAAAUUAUUCAAGAAGAGAGGCAUGGUGGUAUGCUGGAAAGUCUGCUGAGCUUGAAAGUAGGUAACCCAGGCUCCUGUUCCUGUUCUCAUUGAUGAGUUCCCUGACUUCAGGUGAGUCACAGCUUCUCUGGACUUUCAUGUCCUUUUGCAAAGUGAGUCUGAUCAUUUCUAGGAUCUUUUCCAGCCCUGAGAUUGUAUGAGCUGCAAUAGCUAAGAGAUAUGGGAAAGUGGGUCAUUGGAAAGUUGUUUUCCUAACUCCACAGGCAACAAUGUGCCUCAUUCUUAGUCAUCAAAGGCAAAUACGAAGGGAUGGGAAGCACUCUCUUCACUGUCCAUUUGCAAGCAGAAUCACUCUUCACUUGAUUGUCCAGUGUCUGUAUAGUCUCUCACAGAGCCCAGCACAUGUGGGCAUUCUGUAAAUGGCCAUUGAGAACUGCCAGGUCUGUGGCUGCUACAGAGCACAAUGAUGAUGAUAAUGGUGUUGAUGAUCAUGAUGAUGAUGGGCUGGUGUAUCGAGGCACAGACCCAAGGAAGGCUAAUGAGAAUGUUUCUAGGGAAGCUUCCUGCAUGUCACUCUUCUUCCUUCUACUUCCUCUAGGUUCAUCUUCCCUGACUAACAGGGAGCCAGGGCUAUAAUAACGGGAAGGAAGUCAUCAUGUGAUUCUACCUAGAAACGCAGGCAUCAACUUGAAAUGUUUUCUCUUUCUCUUGUAACUCUGGAAUAUGGCUCCUUGGAUUGGAGGUGGCAAAUACCACGGGUUAAACAAUGUCAUUCUGAGCUCUUUUAGUACUGAAUAAUGCAAUAUAUACCAUAUUCUACCCUCUUAAAGAAGGAGUGUAUCAGCUAUGUGCCUGAUAUGGUUUGGCUCUAUGUCCCCACCCAAAUCUCAUCUUGUAGCACCCAUAAUUCCCAGGUUUUGUGGGAGGGACCCGGUGGGAGAUGAUUGAAUCAUGGGGGCUGGUCUUUCCUGUGCUGGUCUUCUGAUAGUAAAUGGGUCUCACAAGAUCUGAUGGUUUUUGAAAACAGGAGUUUCUCUGCAUGAGCUCUCUCUGCCUGCUGCCAUCCACUUAAGAUGUGACUUGCUCGUCCAUCGCCUUCUGCCAUGAUUGUGAGGCCUCCCCAGCCACGUGGAACUUAGCUCAGGACAGCAACCAGACCUGAGAUUCUUUUCAACUUAUACGCUGUUGAUGAAUGUGGUUUCUGGAUGAAAAACUGAGAACAGACUGACCCUCUGGCCACAGCUACUCGCGUCAGGGACGCAUAGUUGCAGGUGCAUGCUGUCUGGUUUGGUUUGCCAAGUCAAAAUAGUUGUGUUUCCCGCUGUGGUGAGAGUUUCCAACUUCAGAC
rnacentral:lncRNA from 10 species